rnacentral:rRNA from 1 species
GUUAGGAGGGAAACGAAUGCAGCUGAAGUGGCUCCGUAUCAGGUUCAGGGGGUGUCGGCGGAUAUUCCGGGUGUGGGCAGCUAGCGCGUCCUCGCUCGGAUAGGACGUCGACUUCCCUGCACUCCCGUUGGGAGCCGGCCAACAGCGGUUGCCCGUGGCCCAGAAGGUCGGUCGGGAGGUGACUCUGCACUCGUGCAGAGAGCGUAUAGCCGUCCGUCCGGAGGUCUGGGGGCGACCGAGGAGAGUCGUGAGUCUUCACGUGUGCGGCGCAGGCCCUAGCGGGCCGGGUCGCCUCUGUCCGUUUGGGCCCCGCGACGGGGACUGCUUGCAGUGUCCGCCGACGGUCAGUCUGCUCGGUCGGGGGAUCGACCACGCCCUGCGCUCCGGUUGUUGGUGCUCAAAUGGCUGCAUCCGACCCG